rnacentral:rRNA from 1 species
UACGAAGGGGGCUAGCGUUGUUCGGAAUUACUGGGCGUAAAGGGCGCGUAGGCGGUACUUUCAAGUCAGGCGUGAAAGCCCCCAGCUCAACUGGGGGAAGUGCCUUUGAUACUGACGGCCUCGAGGGAGAUAGGGGCGUGCGGAACUUCCGGUGGAGCGGUGAAAUGCGUAGAUAUCGGAAGGAACACCGGUGGCGAAAGCGGCGCGCGUGGAUCUCUUCUGACGCUGAGGCGCG